rnacentral:rRNA from 1 species
AGCGUAGACGGUGUGGCAAGUCUGAUGUGAAAGGCAUGGGCUCAACCUGUGGACUGCAUUGGAAACUGUCAUACUUGAGUGCCGGAGAGGUAAGCGGAAUUCCUAGUGUAGCGGUGAAAUGCGUAGAUAUUAGGAGGAACACCAGUGGCGAAGGCGGCUUACUGGACGGUAACUGACGUUGAGGCUCGAAAGCGUGGGAGCAAACA